rnacentral:rRNA from 1 species
UACAGAGGGUGCAAGCGUUAAUCGGAAUUACUGGGCGUAAAGCGUGCGUAGACGGUUAUUUAAGUCAGGUGUGAAAGCCCCGGGCUCAACCUGGGAACUGCAUUUGAGACUGAAGGACUAGAGUUCGGGAGAGGAUGGUGGAAUUCCCAGUGUAAAGGUGAAAUUCGUAGAUAUUGGGAAGAACACCGGUGGCGAAGGCGGCCAUCUAGACCGAUACUGACGCUGAGGCGCGAAAGCGUGGGGAGCAAACAGGG